GGUUGCGAUCAUACCAGCACUAAUGCACCGGAUCCCAUCAGAACUCCGCAGUUAAGUGUGCUUGGGCGAGAGUAGUACUAGGAUGGGUGACCCCCUGGGAAGUCCUCGUGUUGCAACCCC
rnacentral:rRNA from 1 species